rnacentral:lncRNA from 1 species
UCAGGGCCCCUAAAACUCAAGGGAGGUAUUUCCUACUCAACGAUUAUCCAAAUAAAAAGCUGUCUAAAUUGAAUUUCGAGAUUCCAUCGACUCAUCAAGGCUAGUCGCACACGCGGCAAGCCUAUAGUAAUUAGGUGUCCCUUACGGACCGUAAGGGAUAAUGCUUACAGUCCGUAAGCAUGUCCAAAUUCAUAACGACGUUCAAAUUCAUUUCCUACGUCGAGUUAUUUGUUGUUCACUUCACAACACACACAAAAUCAAUAAUUAGUAGAGAGGGGUGCUGCUACGAUACAGGGUAUUAACUCGAUCGCUAUUACGAUUCAUUUUCCGACCGAUCAAUAUAUCCAAUGGAUGUUUAAGUGCCACCCACAUUAGGGUUAUACUUUGUCGUUCGUCGUUAAUUCGAUGGAUGUUUAAGUAUCGUACUUUGUCGUUCAUCGUUAAAUCGAUGGAUGUUUAAGUAUCGCACUUUGUCGUUCGUUGUGAGAAUUUGAUCUCGUGAGUUAUCGUAAUUGUUGUAUUAAGUUACCUACCUAGUUCGUAUGCACUAGGUUACAAGGCUAAAGCAAUAGGCUAAGCUCUGCCUGUGUAAAUCUACAAUAUAUCAAGGCUUAUCUAUAGACUAAACUUUGGCCGUAUGAAUCUGCAUAAUUAUAAUGUGAGUCAUUCUCUUUUUAUCAAACUGUUUUACAAUACUCCAAAUUAUUUUCAGAAUUAUAAUUACAGUGAUUAAGUUUAUGUAAUCACCAAAUUACAGCCAGUAUGUGGGGUAUUGUGCACAUUACUACAAUUUUAAUCAUAUUAGGUGGGCGAACCUAAAAUUAAGUGAUAUACGUCAUUCAUUGGGGCAGCCAAUGGUGAUAUGACCACAGUUACAGAUCCGGUCGAGUGACAAAUACUGUGGGUAGUUG